rnacentral:lncRNA from 1 species
GGAAAUAUAGUAGAUAAACAUGAUAAAUACACUGUUCCCAGAGGACAUCGAUUGUUUAUCCAGACACAGUUUAUAUAUAGUAAAUACUUCUCAAAGGCGUAUAUUCAGCUUUAAAACUUGUACACAGAAAGAGAAAAUAUAUUCUGAGGUAGAUAUAAGUGUGGUAUCGUAUAAGCAAGCUUGAAACUGCAGUAAGAUUCAUUUACACAAAAACGAAAUCUACUUUCGAUUUUACAAAGUAUAUAUCUUCACGUAUUCUGAAAUUAUCCUAGUUUAAAUAACUAUGACGUCUUAUUGGGCUAUUACAUGUACAUGUAUUAUAAUUUUUUGCUUUGACGCCUUACAGCGAAAGAAUAAUUAUGACAGCGAUGUAAGGCGUCAUAGCAAAAAAGUAUAAAAGCCUUUCAAGUCAUUAUAAUUUUUUAGAUAAUUGUCCAAACUAUUUAGUCGGCCAUUUUUAUAUUGUUGCCAAGUGAAGAUAGGGGGUCAUAUCCAACUAAGUCAGACAUCACGUGACUUUUGUAACCGUUUGCUAGCCGCCAUUUUGUAUUAUAUUGCCCCAUAUAAAAUGCAUAUAGGUGCUUCAAUAAAGUUUAAAUUUCUCCUUAACCUGACCCGUUUUUUUUACUUUUGCAAAUCAAUCCUUGAUAUUCAAACAUAUUUCUAUAUAACAAUGUUGGUCCUAACAGUUUAAUUUCUGAUUAAAGUCUGUCAAUUGAGAAUCGUAAAAACAUGCACUUUUCUCGUUAUUUCUCCGUUGACUCAAUGCUAAAUGUCCGAUACCCAUGUCUUCUUGUACAACAAUUAAAGAAAUUCCGUUAAUAAAAAUAAAACUUUGCAAAUCGAUUCAGUAUAUUCAAACAUGUAUCUAGCGAAAAAUACUAGUUAAAACAGUUUAAUUUCUGGGCAAUUUCUGUCAAAAAUCUAUUUAAAAAAGUGAAUAUUUCGGGAUUUUUCAAAAAGGCGGAUGAUGUAUAUGGAAAUGUUGCAUCAAAUCAAGGAUUUGUAUAGAAGACUUUAAAUUCUACAUUUGAUUUUUCAUGUAGAAUCUCUGAUGUUUCUGUGUUUUCUUUGGUGUAAUUUGAUUUCAAAAUUUCUUGAUAAAAAAUAUUAUUUUAAGUGUGACCAAGGUUAUAUGACACGAGAACAUUUUAUUUUGACAGGAUAUACUGUUACCAGAAAAUAGUUAACAAUAAAAUUUAUUACAAUUUUUUUCUCUCUUUUUUUUUAUAGAUGUUUUUCCUGUUUUCUGGAUAAUUUAUCUUUCUUUAGAAAUAUAUUCAUAUACAUUCAUUUUAGAACAAAAAAACUAUUUACGUCCCAAGAGAGAAAAAAAAAUCUCAACAAUUAUUAUAGAUAAAUAUUCUAUACCUUCAAAAUCCCAUCACUUGACGAACCGAACAGGUGAACUCUGACUUUGGAUGUAAUGUUACAUAACAAUAUAUUGUCAGGUAGACGUGCAAACCAAAAGCAACCAGGUGACAUUAAACAUCCUGUGUAUACAUGUAUUACCAGAGUUUAAAUUUUGUGAUAUACAAAAGUUUUCAAAACUGUACAAAUAAAUAUCUUCUCUUCCCCGUGUCAACCCAGAAGAAGUAUUAAAUAUUUUAGGCAAAAUUCAGGCAUUCAAUACAUCGAUAUAAAGUUAAACUUGUUUAAAAAAGAAUGUUAUUGUACACAUUUCAACACAAUUACUCUGAUUUCAUCAACAUUGUAUACCCGACAAUAUUUAUCGACAGAGUUAUCGGUCCUGAAUAGGACUGAUAUAGUUGGGUAUGGGGUAGGGUGGGGGAUGGGGUAGGCUAUGCCUUUUUGUGUUUUAUGUUAACCGGCUGUUUUUGGGCUUUUUCAAGGUGUUGAAUUUUUUACUGUUAUCUGAGAUAAAUUUAAACUGUUUUCAACCAACUGUGCUAACUGUAAUCAGCAUUUUUUAUUUUGUUUUUAACUGGUUUUGCUAAUAUCGAGGUGUUGUUAACAUGUUAACGGACCCACUUUUGCCCCCCCCCCCCCCCAUUUUCAGUGAAUAAUACCACUUUAAUGCCACUGCAGAGAAUCAAUAUUAUUAUAAUCAUCUCCAAUUAUAAUAUUGUAAAAUGCUCUCUUUCAAUGAAAUUUUAUAACUUGAUGUUUCUUUAUCUUGCUUUAUACGAUAUUUAAUUAUGUUAUUAUUUACAUUGUGUAUAUAUUUUUAUGGUAUUGUUUAUAUGCCUUCAACCCCUCGGGGUAUAAAUAUGCUUAAUAUGAAGAAUGGUAAUAAAUCACAUUCUUAGUAAGGGAUUGCCCUAUUGUUUAUUAUAAUUUCCUAAAAUGAAACUAAUCCUUUAGUUACUUCACUAAAUUCAAUCCAUAAACGAGCUGCGUAAAAUGGAAGUCAUGCAUUAAUUUUAGUAAUGACAAUGAAAAUUUUUUUUUUUUAUUAAAACCAAUCAAGAGAUAAUUUGAGCCUUAAAGGGGCACUAGCUGUCAAAUCUAGCUGUCAAAUUCAUGGUCACCGAUUUGACUCAAAUCCUCAUGUUUGAUUUAUAACAAUGUAAAACAUUUAUCCAAACUAUCAAAAGUCUAAAAUAAACAGUUUACAGAGCAUUGGGUAGAUAAUAUAUAGGUUCGUUUCGUGUGUAUUUUAGUCCAGACGCCAUUUAAUUAACUAUCGAUUUGACCUCAGAUGACCAUAUAAGCGAUGUAAACAUAAAUAAAGGUAUGAAUAGAUUAAACCAACACGUGCAAUUUGGAUUUUCAUAGGUCUGUUGAUUUGAUUUUUUAGAAUUAAAAUAGAUGUUUCUCAUUGUUUUUAACCGUAUAAGAAUGGUUUUAUGUGCAUCGAAUUAGUAAUCAAAUGAUUUACCGUAGUUUCAAUUUCAUUGUUGACAUUUCUUUUCUUUAAAUAACCAGUACACGUACAAUGCAUGCGUUGUCAAUCUCUAGCUAGGGGUUAAAUUGAAGUUCACAUGAAUACGAAUUUAAAGAGGUGGACUCAUUCAUUUGCAAGUGAAUAACUAAUUAUCAAUGUUUCUUAGCGUAAUUUGACAAAAUUGAGCCGUUUUGGCUGCAAAAAGCGAAUUGUUAUUUCACUAUUUCACUUUCAUUAUUGAUUGAACAGAAAAAAAAUCAAACUUUAGAUUUUUUAUAUAUCUCGUAGCUGUGCCCCUUUAAUCACUUUACAAUAUUCAAAGUUUGUAAGAUAAUAAUAAUAAUAAAAAAAAUAUUUGCACGUUAUUCUUUUGGAUAUAAUUUUUAUAUGUUGCUCAUGUAUUUAAUAAAGUGGAAUCCAAUAUACAUAGCAAGUAGUUGCGAAGGGUAUAAUGCUUUUAAGACAUUUAUUAGUCAAAUUAUUAUAAUUGUUGUCACUAAGAUAGCGCCUACCUCUUAAAAUUUGUAUGAAUGUUUCCCCUAAUCUUAACCUCUGAUGAGCUCGAUGAUAAGAAAAAUCUUUGAUGGACCACAAUAUGUAUGUAAGGAGAAUUCACAUAACACAUUUUAUUAAUUGUCUUCAGCAUAUCGCUUUCAUCAUUUUAAUACUUGGAUGAAACCUUCUGAGACUUGUCUACAGUUUGUUCUGGAGAGUACUGGCUAAUUUGAGCUUUGAAUUUUAGUAUUCACUUAUAUUUUUUUUAUAAAUGAAUAUUUUAAUUUUCAGGGAGGCUUUAAGUAAGAAAGAUUCAAAAUGAUGGCACCCCUUCCCGAAGAAGAAGAGAAUUAUGUUCGAUUAGCUUUAUUAUUGAAAGGAGUGUCGCCAAGAGCAGUUCGUAUUUUCUUUGACAAAGAAUUCCCA